ACCGUAACAAAAUGUGGAAAAAGUAAUUUGGUCUGAAUACUUUCAAAGGCAAUGUAUCGUACGAAUUGCCCCAAAAGAUGUUGUUGCAAGAGGUAACAUAUCAUACAAAAUGGAUAACAUAGUACACAAUUGGAUAACGUAGUACACAAGAAAAUGUGUGCCGUUUUGCCUAUGUGAGUACCACUCAAAACUACUGGCUGAAAUUAUACAGUUCCGUAACAUCCCUUUUGGGCAAAACAAUUAAAUGAUAUGUUAAAACAAUAAGUAUAUGUGUGUAUAUUGUAUAACUGUGGUGUACACUGAAAUACAUUAUCGUCUAUAAUUUCAUUUAAAAAAGAUGUGCAUUGUUUUACAAUGUUUUUUAUUGACAGAUCCACUGGUCCGUCCCCAUGAUCAAGUGUAGAAAAUAUUUCCUGUCUAAUUUCCUGAGGAAAAUAAAUGUCUUGUCAACCUAGCCAGCACUUUAUUAAAAAGACCACAUUUCAUGUUUACAAAUUCCAGAAGAAUACGAUUUCUCUUUGAUUCCUAUAUUUUUGAGAACCCUUGAUUACAGAGUUAGAGUUAGCGAGGUAAUGUUAAUAGUAUGAAAACCUGUUUCCUGGUGGUAUUUCCAGUGUAAACUCUUAGAGCAGAUCCCAGCCACAGACUAAACACACUAAGGGAAUUUACCAUGAUGGUCUGGCUUUACACACUCUGGUUUGUCUUUCUCCCUGUACUAUCUGGGUCAAUCCACAAAAGUAUUCCCUUUUGCAUCCCUUUGACAUUUUAAGUAGAAAUUGUGCACCAAUUUAGAAUUUUAAAAGCAAGUUAUAUUAAAUGAAGUACCCUUUAAUAUAGACCACAUGUCAACUGAAAUAAAUCUGUUUUUUUAGUUUGCUAAAGUGACAAAAUGCUGAAUUCUGGCAUGUUCCUCUGUGGAGUUGAAUAUUGUAACCCGCUUAACCCCAAAGUUCCUCCACGUUUUCACCAUCAUUGAAAAGCUCGCAUUCACGUGAAAUCGGAGUUAUCGGAAAAUCCUAGUUCCGCCUGAAAAAAUAUAGUUGCCGAGUUGUGACGUUUCACCACUUACCUUUUCAACCAAAAGAUUGCAACCUUAAAAAUAUGGAUCAUUUAGCUAAUUUGACCAUAUCAUCAAUGUUAAGCAAGCUAGCUAACCUUAUAAUUAAUAACAGUAUCAAGCUAGCUAACCUUAUAAUUAAUAACAGUAUCAAGCUAGCUAACCUUAUAAUUAAUAACAGUAUCAAGCUAGCUAAAGUCAUAUUGGUUGAAGAAUUUGUUCUGACAAAAAAGCACAUGAAUGAAACAAAGUUGACAUCACAACUAGGAAAUAGGAAGUUCUGACGAGCAUGUGAAUGCGGCCCUAGUUAUUUUGUUGUUUUGAAGAAGUCAUUUCUGGAGAUUAUUUAUUUCAUGUGAUUAGCAAUUCAUUUUUAAGGGUAUUUUUUAAAAAAAGCUUCCAUUCCUCCUUUCAGAAGGGGAUUUAUGGCUGAUUUAAUAUUGAAAUCGUCAACCCUGUUACGGUCAACCCUGUUACGGUCAACCCUGUUACGGUCAACCCUGUUACCUUAUUUUGCACUUAAUAGGUACAUACUAUUGUAUUUUUUUUCAUUGAAACUCUUGUGAUGGAAAACAUAUUUUUUAUUAAGUUGAACAUGUGCUCCUUAUGACAGAAUGUUAAAAUGAUGUGAGUACACUACCCAAAAGGGACUCAUUUCGUGGAACGACCAAUCUGUGUCCCAAAAUACCUCACUAUUAGGAGCACCCAUGGAGAAAAGAAGUGGAUAGGUUCUCACUACAUAGCUGUGGGCAUCCCAAUAUAAUGUACUAUACACUCAGUGGACAGUUUAUUAUGUGCACUACCCUGUUCACAAAAAUGUUUUGCCCUCCUACAGACAGUUGAGUCAUGUGGCUGUGGCUUGCUAUAUAAAGCAGACAUCAAGGCAUUCAGUUACUGUUUGAUUGAAUGUUAAAAUGGGCAAAACGAGUGACCUAUGCAACUUUGAGCAUGGUAUGAUCGUCGGUGCCAGGUGCGCCGGUUCCAGUAUCUCAGAAACGGCCAGCUUCCUGGGCUUUUCCUACAGAGAAUAGGGUGACAAACAAACGUUUCUAAUUUUGCCAGAAAGUAAUUUUCAUUUCAAGUUAAAGUGUACUGUUAGCGAGCUAGCUAACAUUAACUGGCUGGCUAGCUAGCUAAUGUUAUGUGUAUGAUCUGUGUAGUGAUAUUAUUUGCAUUUCAGAGCCAUUUGCAUUGCUAGUUAUAGCCUAAUGUUAGCUACGUGCAGAUUCAUUCAGGGUAGUAACGUUAUGAGUUGGGAUUAGGGUUCAUUCUUUAGCUAGCUAGCUACAUGUCUAAACAAAAGACUCCACUAUGCAAGUAACUAUUUCAAUAGAAUGUUUUUGAUGUCACAGCGACAACUGUCGAUAGACGUAGCUGGUAAAUUCGCUCUGGCUAACUACUCCGAUUUCAGAACACUCUCAUCUGAGUGUGCUAGAGAGCAGAAUAUCUGACAAAAUGUACAAACGCUCAACACCCUUUGAAUAUGGCCGGUGUCAGUAAAC